CCUGGUAGCGGGGGAUAACUAUUGGAAACGAUAGCUAAUACCGCAUAACAGUAGAUAUCGCAUGAUAGCUGCUUGAAAGGUGCAAUUGCAUCACUACCAGAUGGACCUGCGUUGUAUUAGCUAGUUGGUGAGGUAACGGCUCACCAAGGCAACGAUACAUAGCCGACCUGAGAGGGUGAUCGGCCACACUGGGACUGAGACACGGCCCAG
rnacentral:rRNA from 1 species